UAGGAGACGUCAUCCACGAGGCAACGCUCACCAUGGGCUUCUUCCUGGACCACCACUCUAGGCUGGUGGUGGUGGUGGUAGUGGUGUUAGCUGCGGCACAGCACCUCGCAACGGCAUCACCGAAGGAACACAAUGCAAACCUGGUUGAAUGUGGCGAUGGGGAAUCAACAGGAGUGUGUAUGGCGAAGGGCAUCUGCACACAACCUUUCCCGUCCCCACGUCUCCCCUGCCCCGGUAGCCAAGACUGCUGUGAAAAUCCUACUAUCAACGAAAGGUAUAAGAGAGCGGCGUCGCAAACAGUAAAAGAAAACGAAAAGAAGGAUAAUAAGAAAAAGAAAGAUAUGGCAAAGAAGAAAAAUGAUGGGAAGAAGCGCAAAAAGAGUAGCAAGAAGAGUCAAAAGGGGAUAAUCAAUAAAAGCAAGAAAAAGAAAGCAAGUCAAAAGAAAUCAAACAAAAA